CGCGGGGUGGAGCAGCCUGGUAGCUCGUCGGGCUCAUAACCCGAAGGUCGUCGGUUCAAGGCCGGCCCGGGCAG
rnacentral:tRNA from 1 species